CCCCGCCUUAACUGAUGACAUUCCACCAUUGUGAUUUGUUCCUGCCCCACCUUAGCUGAGUGAUUAACCCUGUGAAUUUCCUUCUCCUGGCUCAGAAGCUCCCCGACUGAGCACCUUGUGACCCCCGCCCCUGCCCACCAGAGAACAACCCCCUUUGACUGUAAUUUUCCAUUACCUUCCCAAAUCCUAUAAAACGGCCCCACCCCUAUCUCCCUUCGCUGACUCUCUUUUCGGACUCAGCCCGCCUGCACCCAGGUGAAAUAGACAGCCAUGUUGCUCACACAAAGCCUGUUUGCUGGUCUCUUCACACUGACUCGAGUGAAAUUUGGUGCCGUGACUAGGAUCGGGGGACCUCCCUUGGGAGAUCAAUCCCCCGUCCUCCUACACUUUGCUCUGUGAGAAAGAUCCACCUACAACCUCAGGUCCUCAGACCAACCAGCCCAAGAAACAUCUCACCAAUUUCAAAUCCGGUAAGCGGCCUCUUUUUACUCUUUUCUCCAGCUUCCCUCACUGUCCCUCAACCUCUUUCUCCUUUCAAUCUUGGUGCCACACUUCAAUCUCUCCCUUCUCUUAAUUUCAAUUCCUUUCAUUUUCUGGUAGAGACAAAGGAGACACGUUUUAUCCGUGGACCCAAAACUCCGGCGCCAGUCACGGACUGGGAAGGCAGCCUUCCCUUGGUGUUAAAUCACUGCAGGGACGCCUCUCUGAUUAUUCACCCAUGUUUCAAAGGUGUCAGACCACGCAGGGACGCCUGCCUUGGUCCUUCACCCUUAGUGGCAAGUCCUGCUUUUCUGGGGAAGGGGCAAGUACCCCAACCCCUUCUCUCUGUGUCUCUACCCCUUCUCUGCUUUUCUGGGGGAGGGGCAAGUACCCCUCAACCCCUUCUCCUUCACCCUUAGUGACAAGUCCUGCUUUUCUAGGAGGCAAGAACCCCCAAUCCCUUAUUUCCACACCCUGACCUCUUAUCUCUGUGCCCCAAUCCCUUAUUUCCACACCCCAACCUCUUAUCUCUGUGCCCCAAUCCCUUAUUUCCGUGCCCCAACCCCCCUUCCCACUUUUCUGGAGGAUAAGAACCCCCGAACCCCUUCCCUCCGUGUCUCUAUGCUCUCUUUUCUCUGGGUUUGCCUCCUUCACUAUGGGCAACCUUCCACCUACCAUUCCUCCUUCUUCUCCUUUAGCCUAUAUUCUUAAGAAUUUAAAACCUCUUCAACUCUCACCUGACCUAAAAUCUAAGCAUCUUAUUUUCUUCUGCAAUGCCACUUGACCCCAAUACAAACUUGACAGUAGUUCCAAAUAGCCAGAAAAUGGCACUUCCAAUUUUUCCAUCCUACAAGAUCUAAAUAAUUCUUUUCGUAAAAUGGGCAAAUGGUCUGAGGUGCCUGACAUCCAGGCAUUCUUUUACACAAUAGUCCCUUCCUAGUCUCUGUGCCCAGUGCAACUUCUCCCAAAUCUUCCUUCUUUCCCUCCUGCCUGUCCCCUCAGUCCCAACCCCAAGCAUCGCUGAGUCUUUCUAAUCUUCCUUUUCUACAGACCCAUCUGACCUCUCCCCUCCUUGCCAGGCCAAGCUACGUCCCAAUUCUUCCUCAGCCUCCGCUCCUCCACCCUGCAAUCUUUUUAUCACCUCCCCUCCUCACACCUGGUCCUGCUUACAGUUUCAUUCUGUGACUAGCCCUCCCCCACCUGCCCAGCAAUUUACUCUUAAAAAAGUGGCUGGAGCCAAAGGCAUAGUCAAGGUUAAUGCUCCUUUUUCUUUAUGCCAAAUCAGAAGUGUUUAGGCUCUUUUUCAUCAAAUAUAAAAACCCAGCCCAGUUCAUGGCUCGUUUGGCAGCAACCCUGAGACGCUUCACAGCCCUAGACCCUAAAAGGUCAAAAGGCCAUCUUAUUCUCAAUAUACAUUUUAUUACCCAAUCUGCUCCUAACAUUAAAUAAAACCCCAAAAAUUGGAAUCUGGUCCUCAAACCCCACAACAGGACUUAAUUAACCUCACCUUCAAGGUGUACAAUAAUAAAAAAAAGUUGCAAUUCCUUGCCUCCACUGUGAGACAAAGCCCAGCCACAUCUCCAGCACACAAGAACUUCCAAACCCCUGAACUGCAGCAGUCAGGCAUUCCUCCAGAACCUCCUCCCCCAGGAGCUUGCUACAAGUGCCAGAAAUCUGACCACCAGGCCAAGGACUGCCGGCAGCCCAGGAUUCCUCCUAAGCCACGUCCCAUCUGUGUGGGACCCCACUGCAAAUCGGACUGUUCAACUCACCUGGCAGCCACUCCCAGAGCCCCUGGAACUCUGGCCCAAGGCUCUCUGACUGACUCCUUCCCAGAUCUUCUCGGCUUAGCGGCUGAAGACUGACACUGCCCGAUUGCCUCGGAAGCCCCCUAGACCAUCAUGGACGCCGAGCUUCAGGUAACUCUCACAGUGGAAGGUAAGCCCGUCCCCUUCUUAAUCAAUAUGGAGGCUACCCACUCCACAUUACCUUCUUUUUAAGGGCCUAUUUCCGUUGCCUCCAUAACUGUUGUGGGUAUUGACGGCCAGGCUUCUAAACCUCUUAAAACUCCCCAACUCUGGUGCCAACUUAGACAAUACUCUUUUAAGCACUCCUUUUUAGUUAUCCCCACCUGCCCAGUUCCCUUAUUAGGCUGAGACACUUUAACUAAAUUAUCUGCUUCCCUGACUAUUCCUGGACUACAGCUAUAUCUCAUUGCCGCCCUUCUUCCCAAUCCAAAGCCUCCUUUGCAUCCUCCUCUUGUAUCUCCCCAACUUAACCCACAAGUAUAAGAUACCUCUACUCCCUCCUUGGUGACCGAUCAUGCACCCCUUACCAUCUCAUUAAAACCUAAUCACCCUUACCCCACUCAACGCCAAUAUCCCAUCCCACAGCACGCUUUAAAAAGAUUAAAGCCUGUUAUCACUGGCCUGCUACAGCACAGCCUUUUAAAGCCUAUAAACUCUCCUUACAAUUCACCCAUUUUACCUGUCCUAAAACCAGACAAGCCUUACAACUUAGUUCAGGAUCUAUGCCUUAUCAACCAAAUUGUUUUGCCUAUCCACCCCGUGGUGCCAAAACCAUAUACUCUCCUAUCCUCAAUCCCUGCCUCUACAACCCAUUAUUCUGUUCUAGAUCUCAAACAUGCUUUCUUUACUAUUCCUUUGCACCCUUAAUCCCAGCCUCUCUUCGCUUUCACUUGGACUGACCCUGACACCCAUCAAGCUCAGCAAAUUACCUAGGCUGUACUGCCGCAAACCUUCACAGACAGCCCCCAUUAUUUCAAUCAAGCCCAAAUUUCUUCCUCAUCUGUUACCUAUCUUGGCAUAAUUCUCAUAAAAACACACAUGCUCUCCCUGCCAUUCUUGUCAGACUGAUCUCUCAAACCCCAGCACCUUCUACAAAACAACAACUCCCUUCCUUCCUAGGCAUAGUUGGUGCAGUCAGAAUUCUUACACAAGAGCCAGGACCGCACCCUGUAGCCUUUCUGUCCAAACAACUUGACCUUACUGUUUUAGCCUAGCCCUCAUGUCUGCGUGCAGCGGCUGCCGCUGCUUUAAUACCGUUAGAGGCCCUAAAAAUCACAAACUAUGCUCAACUCACUCUCUACAUUUCUCAUAACUCCCAAAAUCUAUUUUCUUCCUCAUACCUGAUGCAUAUACUUUCUGCUCCCUGGCUCCUUCAGCUGUACUCACUCUUUAAGUCCUACAAUUACCAUUGUUCCUGGCCCGGACUUCAAUAAGGCCUCUCACAUUAUUCCUGAUACCACACCUGACCCCCAUGACUGUAUCUCUCUGAUCCACCUGAUAUUCACCAUUUCCCCAUAUUUCCUUCUUUCCUGUUCCCCACCCUGAUCACGCUUGAUUUAUUGAUGGCAGUUCCACCAGGCCUAAUCGCCACACACAAGCAAAGGCAGGCUAUGCUGUAGUACAAGCCACUAGCCCGCCUCUCAGAACCUCUCAUUUCCUUUCCAUCCUGGAAAUCUAUCCUCAAGGAAAUAACUUCUCAGUGUUCCAUCUGCUAUUCUACUACUCCUCAGGGAUUAUUCAGGCCCCCUCCCUUCCCUACACAUCAAGCUUGAGGAUUUGCCCCCACCCAGGACUGGCAAAUUAGCUUUACUCAACAUUCCGGAGCCAGGAAACUAAAAUACCUCUUAGGCUGAAUAGACACUUUCACUGAAUAAGUAAAGGCCUUUCCUACAGGGUCUGAGAAGGCCACCGCAGUCAUUUCUUCCCUUCUGUCAGACAUAAUUCCUCAGUUUAGCCUUCCCACCUCUAUACAGUCUGAUAACAGACCAGCCUUUAUUAGUCAAAUCAGCCAAGCAGUUUUUCAGGCCCUUAGUAUUCAGUGAAACCUUUACAUCCUUUACGGUCCUCCGUCUUCAAGAAAAGUAGAAUGGACUAAAGGUCUUUUAAAAACACACCUCACCAAGCUCAGCCACCAACUUAAAAAGGACUGGACAAUACUUUUACCACUUUCGCUUCUCAGAAUUCAGGCCUGUCCUCAGAAUGUUACAGGAUACAGCCCAUUUAAGCUCCUGUAUAGAUGCUCCUUUUUAUUAGGCCCCAGUCUCAUUCAACACCAGACCAACUUAGACUGUGCCCCAAAAAAACUUGUCAUCCCUACUAUCUUCUGUCUAGUCAUACUCCUAUUCACCAUUCUCAACUACUCAUACAUGCCCUGCUCUUGUUUACACUGCCGGUUUACACUGUUUCUCCAAGCCAUCACAGCUGAUAUCUCCUGGUGCUAUCCCCAAACUGCCACUCUAAACUCUUGAAGUAAAUAAAUAAUCUUUGCUGGCAAGGCUAGGCUGAACCUCCUUGGGCACUCUCUAAUCAGAUGUCCUAGGUCCUCCCAAUUCUUAGACCUUUUAUACCUGUUUUUCUCCUUCUCUUAUUCCAUUUAGUUUUUCAAUUCAUACAAAACCGUAUCCAGGCCAUCACCAAUCAUUCUAUACGACAAAUGUUUCUUCUAACAACCCCACAGUAUCACCCCUUACCGCAAGAUCUUUCUUCAGCUUAAUCUCUCCCACUCUAGGUUCCCACACCGCCCCUAAUCCCACUCAAAGCACCCCUGAGAAACAUCGCCCAUUCUCUCUCCAUACCACCUGCAAAAAUUUUCGCCGCCCCAACACUUCAACACUAUUUUGUUUUAUUUUUCUUAUUAAUAAAAGAAGGCAGGAAUGUCGGGCCUCUGAGCCCAAGCCAAGCCAUCGCAUCCCCUGUGACUUGCAUGUAUAUGCCCAGAUGGCCUGAAGUAACUGAAGAAUCACAAAAGAAGUAAAAAGGCCCUGCCCUGCCUUAACAGAUGACAUUCCACCAUUGUGAUUUGUUCCUGCCCCACCUUAGCUGAGUGAUUAACCCUGUGAAUUUCCUUCUCCUGGCUCAGAAGCUCCCCGACUGAGCACCUUGUGACCCCCGCCCCUGCCCACCAGAGAACAACCCCCUUUGACUGUAAUUUUCCAUUACCUUCCCAAAUCCUAUAAAAUGGCCCCACCCCAUGUCCCUUCGCUGACUCUCUUUUUGGACUCAGCCCGCCUGCACCCAGGUGAAAUAGACAGCCAUGUUGCUCACACAAAGCCUGUUUGCUGGUCUCUUCACACGGACUCGAGUGAAAAUACACACGCACACACACACAAAUGGACAUUUACCCCACUCCUGCUUUUGUGCUAUUGUGGUCAUGCAUAGUAUUUCUUUUUUGCUGUUGUUUUUCUUGUUGUUUUCACUGUCAUACAGGUAUUUAUGAUGGAAACAGAAUCAGAGUCUGACCUUCCUGACUUGAAGUACAAGGUUUUUGGGGUUUUUCAUUCGUGUUUUAUGUGUUUUUUAAAAAAUUAUUUGUGUUUUUAAUCGACAAAUAAAAACUGUAUACACAUAUGCUUCCUGAUUUAUAAUGGGGAUACAUCCCAAGAAACCUACUGUAAGUUGAAAAUAAUGUAAGUCAAACAUGCACUUAGUAAACCUAGCUUACCAAACAUCAUAGCUUAACCUAGCCUAGGUUAAACAUUCGUGGGACACUUACAUUAGUCUACAGUUAGGCAAAAUCAUCUAAUACAUAGCCUACUUUCUAAUAAAGUUAUUAGAAAGGAUUUUUAUUCAAAAAUCAAAAUAUGGUUUCUACUUAAUGUUUAUUGCUUUCACAUCAUCGUAAAGUGGAAAAAUAUAGGUCAAGCCAUCGUAAGUCAAGGAAUGUUGGUAUAUCGUAAUGGUGUACAUGAUAUUUUGAAAUAUGUAUACUUUAAUAGCUAUAGUGAGCUAAUUAACAUAUGAAUUGCCUCACAUUCUUAUCAUUUAUUUGUGGUGAGUAGAUAUAAAAUCUACUCUUUUAGCAAUUUUUAAGUAUGCAAUACACUAUUGGAAGGGUCUCUGGCUAAGUUAGUUUUCUUUCUGAACGGACAUUUCUCACUAACAAGUGCAGAAAUUCCCUGUGAACAGGGGAAGCGGUAAUGCUGACAACAAAACUCAGAUGUAAAUUUAGAAUAAAAAAGGGCUCAUGGUUGACUGCUUUGGGCUAUACUUCCAUAAUCUCUCAAAAAAAAAGUAAGGUAUUGUCCUCUGGAGUAUUUUGAUGGAAAAUUUUAGGAAGACUUGAUAAUCUGUAAAAGUUGUAGGCUUGAGAUCCUAAAAGAUCUGUAUCUAAAUUCAUGUAUUCUACAGAAGUUUACUUAAUUACUCCAGGUUUAUUUUUCCUUACUUGUGAGGUAAAUGUUGUAAUACACAUCUACCUCACAAAGGUGUUGUGAGAAUUCAAUGAUAUGUUAUUUAUAAAGAAAGUAUUGAUUACCUUCCUUCUGUCCCAGUGAUAGAUCACAACAAGAGAUCAUGAAGAGGGCAUGGCCGCCAUGUCAUUCUGGAGAGAGACAGAGUAAAACAAAGAAGGUGAUGGGCAAUAACCAGACACGGGACUGAGGCCAUCCAUGACCAGCCAGCCCUAGCCAACACACAACACACAAGCUGAUCACAGAUGCAUGAGUAAGCCUGAGACCAGCCAAGACCAGCCUAGAAUAGAACUGCUCAGCAGCAAUAAAAACUAAAUAAAUUGUUACCUUAAGCUACUUUUAGAGCUAUUUGGAAGUGUAUUUUUGUGCAGCUAACAUUUACUAGCAGAUAAAAUGGUGAUUGUUUAUCUCUGUUUUAUUGAUGUUUUAAGGAAAUUGUUUCUAUUAAAAGGAAAUAUCUGGUCUUUGUCACGUUAAAUCAGGUUUAGCCUGAAGUUGUCUCCUUAAAUUUGCGGCACAACUCCCACCCUGCAAUACUUCAAAUUGUUUCACCUUUUUUGACAGAACCAAGGUAUAUCUUAAAUGUACUUGAUUGAUGUCUCAUGUCUCCCUAAAAUGUAUAAAACCAAACUGUGCUCUGACUACCUUGGGUACAUGUUCUGAGGGUCUCCUGAAGGCUGUGUCACAGGCCAUGGUCUUUCAUAUUUGGCUUAAAACAAAUCUCUUCAAAUAUUUUAUGUAGUUUGACUCUUUUCCUCAAUAGAACUCAUCAUUUAACCAGUUAAGUAUUUUGAGUUAGUUUGGGAUUAAACACGAGAGUUUUGACAGGGAGCUGAAACAAUAGUAGUUUCAUCAAAAGUUGAUUCUUGGUGCAUGUAAUUUUCUAUUACAGUGAACACAGAUAAUAAUGAUGCAUAUGUCUUUACCUAGAUUAGAGAAAGGAAGAGAAAAAAUAAAAAUUUUGGAAAUGAGAUAAAAAGAUAUUGAUCUCACUGAUGUUUCUGAAUCUAAGACUGAACUCAAUUAUUAGUUGUAUUUACUGCUUAUUAGAUUUACUAAGAAAGUUCUUUAAGGUACUUACAGCCCUAAAAUUAUUUGCAAUAUUCAAUAGCAAGGGACUUAAAUACAGUCCUGAUUACUCCAUCACAAAAUGCCAAAAACAAUUAGGAUCUUAAAGGAACUACCCAAAUAGGUUUAAGAUAUCACUCAGGCCAUAAAAAUGUUUUUAAAAUUCACAUCACAAAAUAGCCAAAUGACAUAUCAGAAACAAAAGCAAAAAAGUCAUCCUAAUUCAAGGCAAUUACUUUAGCAAUUCAAAAUAAAAUGUUAAAAGUGACCAAAAAACAAAUGCAAAAUAUUUUAAUGACUUUAAAUGGCUGUAUAAUUUCCUCAUCACUUCACUUGGCAGAGUUAAGAUGGCAUUUAACCUAAGUUCACAUCAUUAAAAAAAACACUGCACCAUGAUGCUUUUCUUAAUAUGCAUUCUCAAAUUAGCAUACAGAGAAAAAUGAAACUAUAGUAGAGACGUAAAUUUAAUCCCUAUUUAGGUCACUAGGCAUUUAUUAGCCCCACCACAGGUUAAUACACUUGCAUUUGCAUCUGUUUCUAAAUGCUAAUUAUCUGACCUCAGAACACUCACUUAUGGGCUUCAUUUAUUGAAAAACAAAUCCCUAUGAUUUGAUCGUAGAGUAACUUUUAAUGUCUAACUUUACGUAGUAUAUUACAGUUUUCAAAACAUUUUUAUAAAAAGUAUUUUGUUUAUUUACAGCAACUAUAUAUCAUAGAUAUUAAUGUGUAUAUUUUGCAUUUAAGCAAGUUGGAGUUCGUAAGGUUGAAUUACUUGAAAUGUACAAAUAGAUAGUAGUGAAUAUUUAAAGUACAUUUUUAAAAAUAUGACCCAGAAAAAUAGGUGGCAUUUAAGAAAUAUAAGCAUGGUAUCUAUCUUACAUGUAUAUUAGGAGUGGACAGUUUUCUAAGAUUAGAAGCAAACAGUUGUCAAGCAAGGGUUCUAAUUUUUGUAAGUCUUGUGGGAAAGAAAGAUAAUAGAGGGUUUCAUUGCAAAGAUAUAAAACUACUCUAGAUAAUUUAAGCAAAAACUAAUCUAAUAAAUUGGGUUUUCCAAAUUAUUGAAACACCUUGAGAACUAGUGCCUGGGUAGGCCUGGAGAAAUGACUCCAGGAACAGCAUUACAGAACUCACCUGCCCAGUGGUAACAGUGCCCAGAUUGCUCUUCUCCAUUAUCCAGCCAGAGUUCCAGAUCAGCCUGAAUACUUCACCUCUGGGAAGACUUUGCAGAACCUCCAGAUUUAUGCCACCUCUAUAACCUGUGUAAUAUUAUUACAAUGCAUAUUAUGUUCUAUUUCACUUACAGUCAGCCCUCCUUAUCUGUGGGUUCCACAAACAUGGAUUCAACCCACAGUAAAAUGAAAAUAUUUGGGGAAAAAAUUAAUGUUUGAGUCUGUAUUGAACACGUAGACUUUUUCUUGUCACUGUUCCCUAAACAAUACAGUAUAACAACUAUUUACAUAGUAUUUACAUUAUAUUGGGCAUUAUAAGUAAUUAAAGAUGAUUUAAGUAUAUGGAAAGAUGUAUAUAGGUUAUAUGCAAGUACUGUGCCAUUUUAUAUAAAGCACUUGAACAUCACAGAUUUUGGUAUCAAUGAGGGGUGCUGAAACCAAUUGCCCAUGGAUACCAAGAGACAGCUAUAUUUGUUUCAAUGUGUACCUCUCCUUCUAAACUCAGUUCUUAAGCAUAUAGUAUCUUUAUAGCUAUACACCUAGUGUCUAUCAGACCCUAAACUAUGGUAGGCCCUCAAUACAUUUUAUUGUUAUAGGUAGAUAGAUAGGCAUGAGUAGGGCAGGAGAGGGCUCUCCCUCCACCCACUAGAAAUGUCAAGUGAUGUUUUAAAAAUUGUCACACUGCCUCUCAGAAAAUGAUAAUUCAGCAACCGGGGAGAGACAAUCUUCUGAUGGUCCACACCUAUUAACAUUAAAGUGUUAUUAAAGGCAGACCCCAGAAAGAAGAAACUUACUGGGCAUGCACAUUAAGAGAUAAAAACGGCAAAAUAUUAUCUUCCACGUACCCACAACUGGAAAAAAGGAAGAAAGCUUCAGGUGGGCAUAUGUACUCUUCCUAAACACACUGCGCAUGCUCACUUCCCAACUGUAGAGAGGGCUCUGCACAUACGGGAAGAAUCUCGGGAAAGAGGUGAACCUAUAAAAGGCCAAGAAUCAUGGUUGAACGGGACAUUUGACCUUCUCUCUUAAACCUUCAUGUGCCUGCUUGGGUCUCUUCCAACUGCACCUUCCUUUCUUUCCUGUUCUAAGGCCUUUUUAAAUAAACUUCCACUCAUGCUCUG
rnacentral:lncRNA from 10 species